rnacentral:rRNA from 1 species
GACGAACGCUGGCGGCGUGCCUAAUACAUGCAAGUAGAACGCAGUUGCGAACGGGUGAGUAACGCGUAGGUAACUGCCUCAUAGCGGGGGAUAACUAUUUGAAACGCUAGCUAAUACCGCAUACUGUGAGCUUGACCUGCGUUGUAUUAGCUAGUUGGUGAGGUAAAGGCUCACCAAGGCGACGAUAGAUAACCGACCUGAGAGGGUGAAAAGGCAAACUGGGACUGAGACACGGCCGAGAAACCUACGGGAGGAAACAGUAAGGAAUAAUCGGAAAUGGACGGAAGUCAGACCGAGCAACGGCGGGUGAGUGAAGAAGGUUUUCGGAUUGUAAAGCGCUGUUGUUAGAGAAGCGGGAACAAACAAGAAAGGGACGGCUAACUAAGUGACAGACGCCGCGGUAAUAC